GCAUAUUUUCCUCCUUCACUUUAUCUUCUCUCUUUAUUUCAUUUCUCUGUGAACUCAUGUGAUGACUGGAGUUGACCAACAAUUAAAGCAGAAGACCUGCUCCACCUGCUGAUCUACUGGUUGUAACAGCUUGUGGGAAAGCAUCACUGGACCAAUCAGGCGAGAGAAGACAGAGAGGACUGAGGACUGAAACGAAAAUACUCUGCCUGCCAAAAAAGGUUUGAGGCAGACCGACCGCUGGGGAGAUGGACCUCACCUGACA